rnacentral:tmRNA from 1 species
AAUGUGGAGUAAAUUUUUAAACUAACGUAUAAUUACAUGUUGGCUUGCCAACUACGACGAUAAACGAAUUUCGUAAUAACCAUUACGGACGUGGGGGCAGUACCCACCACCUCCACCAUUAAAAUUUAUGGGGGUGAAAUAGGAUCGACGGGUGACUAAAGGCUAUUCUUUCGUUCGGGAUUGUUCCACCGUAACGGGCUAAACUUUAAAUGCUAACGAAAGUUACGCUAUUGCUGCAUAAUUAACUUAGGUUAAUUAUAGAAGCACGGUCCGGGGCACCGGGUAACAGAACGCCCCUACU